UACAGCAUUUUAAAGAGGGAACUAUUUCCUCUCCAGAACUUCUUAAUAGGUACAUCACCCCCGCUACCCGGGCUGUUUUUAGAAGAUCCGCUCGCCUGUCAAAAACGUGUUCUGGCUCCGUGUUUGACGAUGAUUUCUUGCCCUCAAAUACAAUGGAUAGAACUAAAGCCAAGGAGACCUCACCGUUGCUUGCAACUAUAUUUAUCAACCAUUUUG